GCUGGUGACUUGGCGUCAUGGCACCACCUCUUCCCAUUCCGAACAGAGAAGUGAAACGUGAUAGCGGCGAUGAUACUCUUUCAGGGGAAAGUAGCUCGUCGCCAGCU
rnacentral:rRNA from 1 species